GGUGUCGUAAUCUACUGGGAUUCAAGUAACUAACUGUGGAAGUCAGAGAACCAGUUGUGACUGUGAGACGUGGUGUUGUGUUGGAAGCACACAGAUGGCCUGGGAUGUUCAUUAGAUGCAUCAAGAAGUUGCUAUGGAGACGGUGCAGGACGUUCCCCCCGGUUACGGCAGGGUUCCCUUCCUGGGAACCGUUCCCAAGCGGAACAUGCGUCCGUGAACAGAGUUCCCACACGGCAGAAGAUGCCUGCAGCCCCGCAGCAGCCGGUAAAUCCAUCCCACCGUCUCCCAGACACUCGCUCAUGUGUACGGGCUGUACUUUACUGUGUCCGUAAACUGGGGACGAUCUACACCUCAAACAAGUCAACUCGGGGCUGGACAACGAUUAAAGAUAAAGACGGAACAAAGAAAUAAUGACAGAAAAUGCUUUAAAUACUCAGCCGGUCGGGCAGCAUCUUGUGGAGAAAGAAACAGUUCAUGUUUCACGCUCCUGUAGAAACAGGCCCUUCGGCCCAACUUGUCCAUGCUGACCAAGAUGCCUCCUCUAAGCUGAUCCUAUUUGCCCACGUUUGGCCCAAAGCCCUCUGACCUUUCUUCCCCAUGUUGAAACACCUUCUGAAAAAUGUCUUCUCAGAUCAAUGACCGUUCAUCAGAACUGAUGCAGUCACAUAAUGUGGCCAGUUCUGAUACAAAAUGGAAAGGCUGGUUAUCUGAAAUUGCCCAUAUUAAUGAUAACUUCAAGGGCUGCACCACACUGAAACGUGAUGCUGUUCCGCAAGAUGUUGUCGGCUUCGUUGGAACAAUUGGAACGGCUUCAUUUGGGGCGGCACGGUGGCGCAGCGGUAGAGUUGUGGCCUUAUAGCACCAGAGACCCAGGUUCGAUCCUGACUAUGGGUGCUGUCUGUAUGGAGUUUGUACGUUCUCCCCGUGACCUGAGUGGGUUUACGCCAAAAUCUUCAGUUUCCUCUCACACUCCAAAGAUGUACAGGUUUAUAGAUUAAUUGUCUUGGUAUAAUUGUAGUUUGUCCCUAGUGUGUGUAGGAUAAUGUUAAUAUGUGGGGAUCGCUGGUCAGUGCAGACUCGAUGGGCUCUCUAAACUAAACUAAACAAUGUAGGUGGACUAAUAAUAAAACAUGCAAUAGCCUGGAAAAUCUGCCAUCCAGCACCAAA